rnacentral:rRNA from 1 species
GACGAACACUGGCGGCGUGCCUAAUACAUGCAAGUCGAGCGAAUCAAUAGGAGCUUGCUCCUGUUGGUUAGCGGCGGACGGGUGAGUAACACGUGGGCAACCUGCCUGUAAGACUGGGAUAACACCGGGAAACCGGUGCUAAUACCGGAUAAUCCUUUUCCUCACAUGAGGAAAAGCUGAAAGUCGGUUUCGGCUGACACUUACAGAUGGGCCCGCGGCGCAUUAGCUAGUUGGUGAGGUAACGGCUCACCAAGGCGACGAUGCGUAGCCGACCUGAGAGGGUGAUCGGCCACACUGGGACUGAGACACGGCCCAGACUCCUACGGGAGGCAGCAGUAGGGAAUCUUCCACAAUGGACGAAAGUCUGAUGGAGCAACGCCGCGUGAGCGAUGAAGGCCUUCGGGUCGUAAAGCUCUGUUGUUAGGGAAGAACAAGUACCGGAGUAACUGCCGGUGCCUUGACGGUACCUAACCAGAAAGCCACGGCUAACUACGUGCCAGCCGCCGCGGUAACAC